UACGUAAGGGGCAAGCGUUGUCCGGAUUUACUGGGCGUAAAGCGCGUGUAGGCGGCUGCCAAAGUCGGGUGUGAAAGCCUUGAGCUCAACUCAAGAAUGGCACUCGAUACUUGGUGGCUAGAGGACCGGAGAGGAUAGUGGAAUUCCCGGUGUAGUGGUGAAAUACGUAGAGAUUGGGAAGAACACCAGUGGCGAAGGCGGCUAUCUGGACGGUUUCUGACGCUAAGACGCGAAAGCGUGGGGAGCAAACAGG
rnacentral:rRNA from 1 species